AAUUCUCCGUGAAGAUCUUGAAAGACCACUCUUUUGUAUAAGGAUUCCUAAUCGCCGCACCGAUCAUUCGGGGGGAGGCGGGACAAUGCGAGGUUUGUAGUUUAUCUAGGGUGGAUGCCUCUUAAAGAGUAACCAAGGUGUGCGAAGGUAUGCUCAAGGUAAGAUUCUACUCAUAAGCGUAACGGUAUAAUUCUGCCUGACUUUAAGACCUAUUGGUCGAAAAAAGAUAAAAGUUGCCAUAGUGCUCCGGGAGUCCCAUGUGGAAGGGAUUUCGCUCAAUGUUUCAAAGGUACACCAGGAAUAACAGGCUGAUGACUCCCAAGCACUCUUAAUGAUGGAGUCGUUUGGCACCUCAAUGUCCACUCAUCACAUCUUGGGGUUGAAGAAGGUCCCAAGAGUUCAGUUGUUCGCCGCUUCAAGUGGUAUGUGAGUUGGGUUUAAAACGUCGUGAGAGAGUUCUGUUUCUAUCUACAUUUGGUGUUAAUGGGAGAAAGGCGAAGAUCCAACCCUAGUACAAAAGGACUGGGUUGGUCUAACCUAUGGUGUACCGAUAGUUAUGCCAAUAGCAGCGCCGGGCAGCUAAGUUGAUAUGGAAGAACUACUGCGCCGUGGGAAAUCCUUCUCUAUAAAAGUUCUUGAAUGAUGUUUUUGAACAGAAACUCAAUAUGCGAGAUGUGUAAGCAGCGCGAUGUUUGAAGAGAUCUCGUACUUAAAUGAACGA
rnacentral:ncRNA from 1 species